rnacentral:rRNA from 1 species
GACGUAGGGCGCGAGCGUUGUCCGGAUUUAUUGGGCGUAAAGAGCUCGUAGGCGGCUUGUCGCGUCGACUGUGAAAACCCGCGGCUCAACCGCGGCCUGCAGCCGAUACGGGCAGGCUCGAGUUCGGUAGGGGAGACUGGAAUUCCUGGUGUAGCGGUGAAAUGCGCAGAUAUCAGGAGGAACACCAGUGGCGAAGGCGGCAUCCUGGACCGAUAUUGACGCUGAGGAGCGAAAGCCAGGGGAGCAAACGGG